rnacentral:rRNA from 1 species
GUCUGCUUAAUUGCGUUAACGAACGAGACCUUAACCUGCUAAAUAGUUAUGCCAACCUUGGUUGGUAGCCAACUUCUUAGAGGGACUGUCGGCAUCAAGCCGACGGAAGUUUGAGGCAAUAACAGGUCUGUUAUGCCCUUAGAUGUCCUGGGCCGCACGCGCGCUACACUGAUGAAGUCAACGAGUUUAUAACCUUGGCCGGAAGGUCUGGGUAAUCUUUUGAAACUUCAUCGUGCUGGGGAUAGGGCAUUGCAAUG